rnacentral:antisense_RNA from 1 species
CUUGACCGAGCCCAGCCACAGCGGCCGGCCGGCCGGCCGGUCCUGCCCGUACGUGGCGAUGAGCGCCUGCGCCUC